UGCUCCCUGCAAGAGAGGCCAUAGCCAUGAACAUCCUUCAGAUCCCAGUUCCUAGAAGCCCAGAGAGCACCCAGGAAUGAGUCAGGGCUAUUCCACAGGGACAACCUGUCAGGUCUGAGCGAAAUAAGUCAGAUCUGAAGUGCUACCCAAAUGCUCCAAUCCUAACUGCCACGCAUCAAUUGCUUGUUUAUUGCCUAUUUCCUCACUAGAUGGUAAGCUGUCUUUGUUUUCUGCUGAAUCUUGAGUGCCCAACACACUGAUGAUUAAAAUGACUGCAACUGAGUGAAUGUCAGACUUAAUUACUAACAUGACACUUCCGGAGCAACUACUGUGUGCGAGGCACAGGGAGGCUCGUGGUGGGGAUGCAGAGGAGUGAGAGACAUAGUAGCCACCCUGGAAGAGCUGUCUAGGAGUGGGGACAGGAAGCAGUAAUGUCAGCUGUGAUGGGGUAAGCACAGGCUAGCCUGAGGGUUCAGGGAAGACAACCCCAGGGUUGAGUCUCAUUAAAAAGUCAGUCUAAAACAAAAAAGACAGGAAGACUGCUAUAGACUAAAAGACUACAGAUGCAUGAAGCCUAACAACACUGGAUUCAUUUUUUUUAAGUUAUGAAAAGUGUAGACAAUUAGGAAAAAAAAUUUAAUGUAGUAUGUCUAUUACAUGAUAUUGUGAUGAUUUUUAAUUUUCUUAGGUAUGAUAAUGGUAUGGUGGCUAUGUAAGAGAAUGUCCUUAUUCUGAAGGGACAGGUGCUGAAGGACCUAGAGGUAAAGGAUGUCAGGAUGUCUGGAACUUCCUUUCACAUGGUUCAGGAAAAAAACUGUGUUUGUACAGACAGAACAGGAGCCAGAAGAGAUGAAAGCAAAUGUGACAAAGGUCAACCUUUGCAGCAGCAUAUAUUAGAGAAAAAGAAAUGCGAACACACAACACAUACCAUCCACAAUCAGCUGGGUGGCCACAUUCUCCAGUUCCUGUGACUCUACUUAUUAUGGACAGCCCAGGGGGCACACCCCUCCCUUUGGCCCAACUCCAGCUCCAGACCGUCUUCAUCAAGGUCGGCUUAAAGAGUCCCAGGUCCAAAAGCACAACCAGACCAGAAGUGAUUCCUGCUUUGCUUAGACCGUCUUUGGAAUCAUUGAUGUGGAACCCCAGAUUUACAAAAGAGCUGCCCUCCUUCCAUGGGUCCUCUGGAAUGCCCACCUCAUCGCACCAAGUCAGGAAAUCAGAUUCCGUCAGACUGCAGGCUCCAUCCUGGUGGUCUCUGUAAUUAGGCUUUAACGAAACUGUUGGGCUGGAAUAGUGGACUAUAAUUGGCAGCCCUGCCAGGGUCAUGGGAUGGAGGGGUAACGUUUCCCAAAGGAAAGGGGACCGCUGUCAUCAGGAAAAGGUGAAAGUGUUGGGCAUCCAGACGCAGGAGAUAGCUCUUGGAGUGGUGCUCAGUUAUUUCUAAUUAUUAUUAAUGAAGCCAUGUUUUUAGAGAGACUAAGCAAAUAUCUUACAAAAUUAUAGAUCAUUGUAAUAAUGAUUGAAUAUUUGCUGUGUGUCAGGCACUGUUUGUUUAUAACCUCAUUUCAUUUUUUUUUUUUUUGAGAAUUUUUAUGAGUUUGAGCCAAGCUGACAACAUAUGCAAGGAGCAAGAUCUCAGAUCCUCCCAUCAUUUCAUUCUUAAAGUGACCUCACACCUAUUUUAUAAGUCUCUGCAAUUUCUAGGACAUGCUCUCUAUGCAUGGAGAAUCAUCCAGCAUGGGAAUGUUGGAGGCAGGUUGCUCCCAGCUCUGGAUACCACCUCAGUGACUCUGCUGGCCUGGCAGCUGUCCCCUGGAUCCCUCUUGAUCUUCGUGGGGACAUAUGAAGUCAGAAGAUCCAACUCACUCUGCUUUAGGACUCAUACUCUACUUUGGCGGCAAUAAUGAGAAUAACAACCAUUAAAACCACUCGUUAGCCAUUUUACUACAGGCAGGAACUGUACAAAGAGCUUUGCGUGUAUUAUCUCAUUUAAUUAGUAGAGCAGCCCUGUGAGAUUGUACAUGAUUCCUUAUUUGACAAAUGGAACAGAGGCCCAGGGAUGUUCUUCGUUAAGGUCACACAGUUAAUGAAUGACAGAGCCAGGACUUGAACUUGAGGCUGUCUAGAGUUCAUGUGUUCAACCACAAAGCUACACUGCUUGACUGACCUGCAACCAUCUGUAAAUGCGGCCUCUGAUUAUAUUUUUGUACUUGUUUAUUUAUGUACUUGUUCAUAUGUAAAUAUAUUUUUAAUGAAUUAAUGAAGAAAGCACUCAGCAUCGGGCCUGGC